rnacentral:rRNA from 1 species
AGAGUUUGAUCCUGGCUCAGGACGAACGCUGGCGGCGUGCUUAACACAUGCAAGUCAAGGAGAAAAGGAAUCUUCGGAAUCCUAAGUAAAUUGGCGAACGGGUGAGUAACACGUAGGUAACCUGCCCACAAGACAGGGAUAACUUUGCUAACGCGAAGCUAAUACCUGAUAAUAUUCCGACACCACAUGAUGUUGGAAUCAAAGCUGCCUUCGGGUAGUGCUUGUGGAUGGACCUGCGCCCCAUUAGCUUGUUGGUGAGGUAACGGCUCACCAAGGUUGCGAUGGGUAGCCGACCUGAGAGGGUGACCGGCCACACUGGGACUGAGAUACGGCCCAGACUCCUACGGGAGGCAGCAGUGAGGAAUAUUGCGCAAUGGGCGAAAGCCUGACGCAGCAACGCCGCGUGGAUGAUGAAGCUUUAAGGAGUGUAAAGUCCUGUUAGAAGGGAAGAACAGUACCGACAUGAAUAAUUUCGGUAUUUGACGGUACCUUCAGAGAAAGCCCCGGCUAACUCCGUGCCAGCAGCCGCGGUAAUACGGGGGGGGCAAGCGUUGUCCGGAAUCAUUGGGCGUAAAGAGCGCGUAGGCGGGACAGUAUGUC